UUUCUACAGCAAGGAUUUCAUAGAUAGGAGCAAGAGAAACUCCAAAAAUAGAUCCAACUUGAAAAUUCUUCAUCACAGUGGUAGCAAACCAUACAGACAGAUCAUAUGGGACAAUGGUGGCAAGGAAAA